rnacentral:rRNA from 1 species
UACGUAGGGUGCGAGCGUUAAUCGGAAUUACUGGGCGUAGAGCGUGCGCAGGCGGUUCGUUGUGUCGGCGGUGAAAGCCCCGGGCUUAACCUGGGAAUGGCCGUUGAAACUGGCGAACUGGAGUGUGGCAGAGGGGGGUGGAAUUCCGCGUGUAGCAGUGAAAUGCGUAGAGAUGCGGAGGAACACCGAUGGCGAAGGCAGCCCCCUGGGCUAACACUGACGCUCAGGCACGAAAGCGUGGGGAGCAAACAGG